GCCGGGUGUGGUGGCACGCACCUGUAGUCCCAGCUACUUGGGAGGCUGAGGCAGAAGAAUUGCUUGAACCCAGGAGGCGGAGGUUGCAGUGGGCUGAGAUUGAGCCACUGUACUCCAGCCUGGGUGACAGGGCAAGACUCUGUCUCGA
ensembl:misc_RNA Metazoa_SRP Metazoan signal recognition particle RNA